rnacentral:misc_RNA from 1 species
AGCAGUCAUUUCUGGUUGUGCCAAUCUUGGGAGAAUUGAAUGGGGUGAACAAUUGCAUGCCCGCAUGUUAUCUCAGGGUCUAAUGAGUUCUUCUUCAGUGGCCAAUUCCAUCAUGACCAUGUAUUCAAAAUGUGGACAGCUAAUUUCGGCUGCAAUGGUGUUUCAAGAGUUGACUAGAAGAGAUACUGUUUCGUGGAGCACAAUAAUUGCAGGAUAUUCUCAAGAAGGGUAUGCAGAAGAAGCAUUUGAAUAUCUAUCAUGGAUGAGAAGGGAAGGGCCAAAACCAAAUGAGUUUACUCUUGCUAGCGUACUGAGUGUUUGUGGAAACAUGGCAAUCCUUGAGCAAGGGAAGCAAUUGCAUGCACAUGUCUUGCAUGUUGGGUUAGAAGAAACUGCAAUGGUCCGAAGUUCAUUAAUCAAUAUGUAUUCCAAAUGUGGAAGCUUAAAGGAAGCUUCAAAAAUCUUUGAUGAGGCAGAAAAUGAUGAUAUUGUGUCAUGGACAGCCAUGAUUAAUGGAUAUGCUGAACAUGGAUGCAGCCAGGAAGCCAUUGAUUUGUUUGAGAAAAUUCCCCAGAUUGGUUUGAGACCUGAUCCUGUGACUUUUAUUGGUGUUCUCACUGCUUGUAGUCAUGCUGGACUAGUUGAUCUCGGCUUCCAUUACUUCAAUUCAAUGAGUAAUGAAUACCAAAUUUGCCCCUCAAAAGAGCACUAUGGCUGCAUGAUUGAUCUCCUUUGCCGAGCUGGACGAUUAAGUGAAGCAGAAAGCAUGAUUAAAAGCAUGCCAUUUAAAAAGGAUGAUGUUGUUUGGUCAACACUUCUUAGAGCAUGCAGGGUCCAUGGUGAUGUUGAUUGUGGAAGGCGUACUGCAGAGAAGAUUCUUGAAUUAGAUCCCAAUUGUGCAGCAACUCACAUUACCUUGGCCAAUAUGUAUGCUGCCAAAGGAAGGUGGGAUGAAGCAGCAAAUGCAAGGAAGCUGAUGAAAGUAAAAGGUAUAAUUAAGGAGCCAGGGUGGUCAUGGAUUAAGGUCAAGGAUCGAGUUUCUGCAUUCAUGUCUCGUGAUCAGUCUCAUCCUCUGGGUGAAGAUAUAUAUAGCAUGCUCGAUUUACUAGUCUCCAAGGCACAAAAGCCUGUCCUAGAAAUAGAUCCUCUUCUAGAUGAUGCCAACCAUUAGCGAAGGUGAAUCAUGCACCACCAUUGGAUGUAGAUUGAAGUUAAUUUUAACUCAUGCAGACACUUUUAUGAGCUGCGUAUCAUAAAAUAUGGGAAGGAGGUUAAAUCUGGUUGAUAUAGAUCGCAAAAGGUAGCUAUAAAGCUUACUCAUAUGAUUACAAAGAUACACAAAUGAUAGAUGGGACAAAGUUGAGGUGUGCAGGAUCUUCUUAUGGUGUAGCAUGCACGAAUUGUGGUUAUGUUCAUGCUAAACGAGCCGUUGAUCUUACAAGGUAGCAACAAACGUACAUUUUGCUGAUGCAGGUCACAAAUGAUAACUAGAAGCUGAUUUUUGUGAUUAAAGAUGUAGCAGAUGAUGGAUGAUGAAACUGAGUUGCUGAUGCAUCUUAUCAUGUGGUAUGUAGUGCAAAGUGUGUUUAUAUCCUUAUAGAGAGAAUCUACAAAACAUAGAUGGAUUGCAUCUUUCUUGGCGGCAGACAACUGUGAGCCAAUCAGAAAGCAUAACCACAUGCCAAUGAUGCAUUGAUAUUUGGGACACAUGAAUUUGUAGGUUAUAUUUCUUCAUUGAACUUGUGCAAUUAGAAGGAUAUUUUUAACAUUGAGAACUUCUGAUCUUCAGGUGAUAUCGUAUGCAAACAGGGUUUGAGACUUGAAUGCAUUUUGGCAAUUCAAUCAUAUUUUUUCUGAAGGAUAACUUCUCUUUUAUGGUGUUAUAUUCGAAUGAUUAAAUUAUUCAUCUUAUGUUUGGGAUUCAAAAAGGAAACACCCUAGCUGGAACAUUUGGUUGUUCCAUGAAGUUGAGAUCCUGAAGUUGGGGUUGGGGUUUAUUGAACAGGAGAGAGUUACCCUCCAUCGUCCAGCCCAUUUAAUGGAAAGGAGGGAGAAUAGUUGAUUAGCCUAUAUAUAUAUAUAUAUAUAUAU